rnacentral:siRNA from 1 species
UGGUUGACAGAAAAAGUUUACGCA